GGACCUGAGGGAAUGGUCUGAACUUAUGUUGUGGGAGGUUUAGGUUGGAUGUCGUGAAAAGGUUCUUCCCCCAGACAGCGGAUGGGCACUGGAAUGGGGUGCUGAUCAUAGCACCAAGCCUGACAGAGCUCAAGAAAUGUUUACACAGUACUCUCAGGGUCAUGCUAUGACUAUUGGGAAUGUCAUGUACAGAGCCAGGAGCUGGACUUGAUGAUCCUGAUGGGUCCCAUCCUACUCAGGUGAUUUUGUUAUAAUCAGCUGUAGUUGCUGCUACUCUGUGUAUUGCCAUAUUGGGCACUUUGAUCCAAACCAUAGAAAGUAGACUUCUGCUGUUAUUUCAUACACUUAGCUUUUCUGAUACUCAUGCAGAGCUGUGUUUUAAAGUUAAUGAGUCCUGUAGCUGCUGGAGGUCCAUUUCAGGAAAAGAUUACAGAUUUAUGGUAAAACUAAUUGGAAGAUAUUCACAAGUAAAUGAUCAUUUUUUAGUUAUUUGAGGGGCUGCACUGACUCCCACAUAAUUUUAGGUGCGUUUUGUUUCUUAGCAACAUGGAAUUGAGGGUAAUUUUUUGUAACUGAAAGUCAUCAUGUUCAUGUUCAGAUUUAUCAGUGCUUAAGAAAGGGUGCAGUGCACCAAGUAAGGAUGUCAUAGCCUCCUUGCAGAUCUUUACUUCAGAAAAUACCUCUGAUAUAAUGAAUUUCUUAGGACAGUUGCUGAAGGUGCUGUGUCACCAACAGUUUGUCUCUACUGUCCAUCCUGCUACAUUAACCUGAGCUUUGGGGGAAAAAGCCAGACUAAGGCUAAUGGGUCUGAAUGGGUGUCAGCUGAAGUUUUUACAUCUUGUUUUCAGUGUGUUUGCUUGUGGGAAGUGCUUUUUUCACCAUGGAGUGUUAGCUAUUUGUCUGUGCCAGCAUAAUGUUUGUAACUUGACUCUGCCAUGGUAUGCCUGGUUUUUUGCAUGCUUUGCUUGGACAAGGAAAUGAGUGGCUUUUUAAAUGUCACUGAGAUGGAAUAUAUGAUUUAGACAUUUUUCAUAAAGUAGAACACAUACGUGGUUUCCUAAAGCUAAGAUUUAGUCCAAAAAUAAAACUUGUGUUUGGCCAGGGCAUGCAGACUAGGGUAUCUGAAGUUCUAGGGCACAUAAACUGCUGGCUUCUAGCAGAUAGGCUUUGUACAGAAAGGCUCUGACAUGAGGUCUCAGAUCACAUUUUUGUGUGUGUACAUUUUUCUGCUCCCUAUAGCUCAUAUGAGCUAACUAGCAUUUUUUCAGUGGAAUUGAGUGGACUUGGUUUAAGGCUUUCAUAUGGGAAUUGUGUGGAUGAUCUGAUAGUGUUGGAAAGGGCAGGAAAUAAUAUUUUAACUCUCUCAAAGUUUACUCAGCUGUGCCAGAAUGUAGAUUUAGGAUUUAAGCUGAACAGAACAGAGAUCAAACCACAGUUUGAUAAGGACAUCUUAUUGUUUUGUAAAGGAGAGUUUUCAGAGUGUAACAGUAAAAUUUUAGCUCUGUUUUCUGAAUUCAUUAUCAUAGCUCCCACUGAAUGCAUAUUAGUCAAUGUUUCAUCAUCAGAAAUGGCUUGGAAUCAGAAAUUAAGCAAUCUGGGGGAAACAUGUUAUAAUAGAGAAUCAAACUGUAAUUUAAUCUGUGUUCUCUUUUUCUUCAAGGCUAUUAAAAUGCUUUUACUUCUUUCACCUGAUCUUAGUAUAGAUUUUGAAGGAAUGAAGGAUAACUGGUCUCUGUUGCAGAAAAUGCUGCAAUAUGCAUACUACAAAAGCCUAAAAAUCAUCCACUGUUGUCAUGAAGUCUCUGUCCACAGAGACCGCGAGAUUUUGGCAGAAGCAGGGUCAGUGAGCUGGCUCUAUUGGUCUUCAUAAGGCAGUUAGUAAGCUGACCCACCAAGUCCAACAGUAUGGUCAGCUGCAUAGAAAGCACAUGCAGCUGUAAAGGCUUUGCUUUAUUGGUGGUGGAAGGAUGUAGCAGGUAACAGGGGCUUGAUAACUGAGAGCAGAGGCUGGUUCUGUAGUUAGAGAAUGUGGUUUAGUGAUUCAGGAUUUGUGGUGCAGGAUUUACAGUGCUUGCACAUAUGCUGCCAACAGCUCAGACCAGUAAACAAGCCUGUGAACCAGAGAGAGAGCUGGAAAAACCUGUGUGCAGUGAAAAAAACCAGCAUUCAAAGGGAAUGGCAGAACUGCCUGCUCCACUGUGAUCUGUCACUCUGUUAGUAGCCUGAACUAAAGGGAACUAAUAGGAGGGAGUUCCCAAUCUACUUGAAAGUUCAGGAGGUCUGAAAUUGUCAUGGCAAACACUGUAAUUCACUUAAGUGGCUGUGGCUAAAUAACCACUCCCAUGGGGUUUUAGUCCAUCUGUCUCGUCUUCUGCCUUCCAUACAUCUUUUCUUAUGUUGUACUUUUCCCUGUCCUGUGUGACCAAAUAGGAUCAAAGAAGUUAAUUGGGAUGAAAAAUCCAUUUUUUAAAAUAUUAUUACAGUUUACAUGUGAGUCUCAUACAGCUCCCUGCAAGGGGAUGUAUAAAUGCCUGGGCCAGGUAUCACAGGGGAGAUGUCAAGAAGGUAGGAAUAUGAAAGGAGAGAAGAGGAACUGACUUUUCAGGAAAAAAUAUGUAGCCAUAAAUACCCCUGCAUGACUAUGAGUCUGUAAUGAGUCAAGACCUCAUAUUCCUGGAUAAUAGGGGAAUAUAAGCUGAAUUUCAGUGUAAUCUAAGUUAUUUAUUCUUUUUAAGUUUCUUUGCUGUAGUUCUAAGAGAUACUUAUUUCAGUUUACCUUAAAUUAUAAGUCCACAUUCCUAACUAGAAUGCCAUGGAGUCUGUAACCAAUAUAAGCUUGUAGUGAGUAAGUGUCAGGGUACUUUUGGUACCUUUGUGGUGAUCAGUGUACUUUUGCAGAAUUUCAGAGGAGAUGUAAUUGGAUUUAAGACCUGUAAAAGGCACUAGAAUGGUACUAGUUGAGCAGAAAGUCUUCUGUUAAAACAUAGACAUUUAUCCCCAUUGACAAAAUACAUGCUUCAAUUUGCAUUAUUGAACAGCACUUACCAUCAAAGAUUUGAGCACUCAUACCUGAUUCUGCUGCUGUUGAACAGCUGAUGCACUUCAUCAUAGAAAUGACUGCUGUUUAAGUCAACUUCUAAUUGUUUUGUGCAACCAAUUUGCCUGAAAGACGGGCUUUUCCAUUUGUAUAGAAGGGAACUUACAUAAAUGCAAUAGUUCUACCUAACAUGACCUAACAUGCUCAUGGGAAAUAUGAUGCUAUGGUUAAGGGCAUUAGUCUAAAAAUUACUACAAAUGUCAUGUAUUGUGCCCUAAUCUAAGCUCACGCCAUUCCUACUCAAUCAUGGCAGUGAUUGUGUUCCUUAGCCAAAUAAUAAUCUUCAAUUUUAUCCCUAUGAAAACCUCAGUAUUUUUGCAGAAUCAUAAAUUAUAUAUUUUAGGCUGAUCCUAUUUAGCAACUGUUUAUCUCUUGUUACAUAGCUGCACACUAUUUUUGUAGGAUAUUUUUAAAGCAUACAGUUUUAAAGACAGCUAUCUAUUGUAUCUUGCUUACCCUUUCCAGACUUUUACAUUAGAAAAGUAUCAAAGGUUAUUUACAUUUGCUCCAUUGGGCCUUAACACUUCGAUUAUGGAAACACUAUGCUGAUUCCUGUGAUUGUUUACAAUUGUGGGUUUUUGUUAAUCUUGCAAAAAUCACUUGCUCCUUUUUUUUUCCCAUGCCCAGACAAAGCAAAGGGUAGUUAGUGCAUGUCAAAUGAAUGGAUAAUGUUAUUUGUCUGGAGUGUUUCUGACUGUGAGAAGGCAUCUUUCUAAUCCACCUGAGUGUCUUGAGUCUGCAGUGUCGUUAUUGUAGUUACUAGCAUAAAGUAAUCCCAUCAGCCUUAGAGGAAAGGAUAUUGCCACUCAAACACUCAGUAUCAUUCCUGAAAGAAUGAGGAAUAGAGACUUGGAUUUUAAAAAGAAAAUAUAGAAAUUUAGAAGGCAGUUGACGCAGAUGGUGUUCAUAUUGUGUAUCACUGGAUAGACAUGUCUGUGUGUGUUUUUUGUUGGGGAAGUCAUAUUUCCUCACAGCCUGGUUUAAUAAAACAGGAUUUAUAUCAGCUACCUUCCCAGCGGACCUCUAAAGCUUGUGUAACUCUCCUUAGAAUAUCAUGAUGAAAGGUACAUGUCAAUAAACAGUGUGUCGUUUAACAUUCUAGUUAUCUGUGAUUUAGUAGAAAAUGCAUGGGGAAAUGAUAGAGCAUGCUUUUAACUCAGCAGUGACUCUGAUAUGAUGCUGGUCAUGAUGUAUUGUUUGUUGUGGGUUUUUUUAAUGGUAUCUUCAUGGGUCGGAUUGGUUUAUUAUUUCCAUAUGUUGAAAUACCUGAUUUUAGGCCAAGUUUUUGUCUCUCUCUGUGCACAAACUGGAAGACAGUGUUGGUCACUGUGGUGCUGAUGCCAUGGAUGAAGCUUAUGAGGUCUGGUUGUCCUGAGCUCAUCUCCACAUCUGUGGUUACCAUUCUCUGCAUGGCUCUUCCAGUAAGGGAAUUCACCCAGCUGCAUUAUAUGUGCCGUGGAAUAGUCCAUCAGGAAAAGAUGUUGGUUACUGUCCCAGAAAUACAUUGUUCUUAGAAAAAAAGAAGAGAAACUGAGUCACUGUGAGGAAUUACCUCUCUGAGCUGUCCAUACCAGAACAGUCAUUUAGUUCAGAGGGACGUGCAGGACACUGCAUUAAGCCAAAUGCCGUGAGUGAUAAUAUUAUUCUUUAUACCUUUAUGUAUAGUCAGAACCUGUCAUAAAAAAUUAGAAGGCAGUUUUUAUCACUUUUGACACAAGUGUAAGACAGGAGCAGUUCUGCUAGCAUUACUAUAACUAUAAACUACAAGGUAUCUCUUAUCAAAAGACAAAUUUAGUUUUAUAUGGAAUGAAGGUGGGUGCUACUGUACCACAGAUUUCAAGGAGUUAUGACUCAGUCUGAUCCAUACCACAUUGCCCACAGUGUUUCAGCUCUGAAGCAAUUCUCCCAAGACCAAUUGAGAUAAUGAAACUCAAAGCAUUUUUCAUGCUUGAAAGGUGUAAACUGUCAUAGAAGCAAAUGUGAUGACUGGCAAGGCAAGUUACAUUCUCAAUGCUUUAAAAAUGGUGAGAUUUUGUUUAUCAUUUGUUGUUGAAGCUAUCUGAUGAGUUUUCAUUUUGCUAAUGUUAUGCAAUUUUAAAGCAAUAGCUUUGAUUUUUAAGUUCCCCCAUACAAGGUUUUAAAUGACAGCAUGUGAUUUGUGAUGAAUGAAAAAACUAUUGUCAUGAUUGUUGAUUUAAACACAGUACAGGAAGUUGGAAGUCUAAAGGCAGUUGAAUUCUUGCAAGGGAUUAGUGAUUCAGGCCUAAGUAAAGGAGUGGCCACUACUACCUACUACCUACUACCAUUAACACCUGCCACUUUAUUACCUAAGCAGAAAAGAUGCUCAUAGAGCCCAACAACUUUUGCUAGAGUUCUCCCAUUAGCGUCAGCCUCGGAAGGAUCCAAACCUAAAAUGUCUGUGUUUGAUCUCUACUGAAAAUAAGGUGAGUAUGUUCCUUUGUCUCCUGUGAGUAAAGGGAAAGCUUCUUUGUUCCAAGGAGGUAGUAGUGAUGUUGUUUGUAAAUGUUUAGACAAAGCCUAAAUUCUUACUUCUUUGUUAAUUUCUGCUAGUUUUUGAGUAAAGACAAUGGUUAAUUAGAUAGCAAAUACCAUGAAAAACCAGGAUGCAAAAAAAGUAUUUCAAAGGGUUGAUUCAGUCUAGUAUUUUUGUGAAGGUCAGGUCUUAGAAUUUUCUAUUUUGCAUUCUUAAAUGUGAGAAUACAUGAGAAGCCAAGUCUUCAUCCCCUAGCAUUGCACAGCCUUGGCUUUUAUUGCAGGAUACUGAACAGAAGAUUUUCCAGACCCAAAAUGUAUAGAAAAUUCUUGCUUUUUCUGAUUCUGCCCUGGUGAGUUAAAUAAUUUCAUCUAGCGGCACAGUAGAGUAAUCUUUUGGAUGAGUCUUUGAGGUGAAUUUAAGCAGAAUUUGUGUGUGCUUCCACAGAGACUUUCAACAUCAACAUAAGACUUGAGAUGAUAAGUUGUUUGCUGGAUGUUUUGGCUGAAUUUUUUCUGAAUUAAUUGAUUUUAUGCAGAUUUCCUGAAUAUAUGGAAAGGAGUGGGAAACAUUAUUUAAUGUGACUAAUUAUGCUUGCGUAUUUAGUAGAAAACAGCUUAUAAAAUACAGUAUGUUCUGUUUUUCUUGAAGGAGCUUUAAUUGCAGUGAGUACUGUGCUUCAAAAUGUCUCUUCUGAAGAUGAGUUUUAUUUGGUGCUCAGCUUGUUGUUUUAAAUAAAACUCCUUGCAUGUUCUGAUGAAUAUUUGCAGGUGAUGGAGUCAAACCACAGAACACCACCAGGUAUAUUAAUGUGGGGAAGUUACCUGAGCUGUAAAAUUCUAGACUUAACCUGCUUAUUAUUGCAAACUGGGACAUUGGCUCCCUGCCAUCUCCAAGUGCGUCAGUCACAGGCUCAGUCUAUGCAGCACUACACACCUAUAUUUUUAAGGGCUUUUAAAUAAACAAAUACAGAUGGCUGCCACAGAGUAUUUGAGAGCUGGAAGUUUUAAACAACAAAUUGUAGGGCAAAGCUGACUAUUUUAAAGUAUCUUCAUUUCCUGCCAAUGACACUUAACUGUUCCGAGGCUACUUUUGUUUAAAAUCUUCUUUCCCUGACCUUUGUCAGGGAAAGAAUUUCUGGACUGGAAUAUUCAGUAUCUCUGUCUUUGAAUAUUACUCAAGGGACAUGUCAGAUAUGACAAUAAUCUCACUGGAGUUCAUUCCAAAAUGUCUUGGAUUUGCAGAUACAGAAAAAAAUGACUGUUUAUGAGGUCAUGAUUGGAAUAUUCCUCUAUCAUGCCAUCAGGAAAAGUUGAAGCAAGCACUUCUCAGCUGAUUCUGGUGACUGCUGCUUGACAGCAAAUUAGCUUGCAUGGUAGUCUUUCACAUAUUCAGAAGAGGAUUUUUUGAGGCACUUACAUCCUAUUGUGUGGACACAGAGUCUAGCACACCAGGUUUCUCUUUGCUAAGGGAAAUUAAACUUUCAGGGAGGCUUUCAAGAAGAAGAGCUAAUAAAUUGCUCUGAAGUUGAUACAAGCUUCUCUGGGAAAAAGAGCAGGGCCUGGAAAGCCUGUGAUAGAGAGCAGCUGUCUUCAGAUACUUGCAUUAAAUCUCAGACGUGCUUUCCUGCCAGCUACUUCAGUGCAGAAGAUUAGCAGACAUGUCCAUAGCACUCAAGCAAGUCUUUAAUAAAGAUAAGACUUUCCGCCCAAAACGCAAGUUUGAACCUGGAACCCAGAGGUUUGAACUUCACAAACGAGCGCAAGCAUCUCUCAACUCGGGCGUGGACUUGAAAGCAGCUGUGCAGUUGCCCAGUGGUGAAGACCAGAAUGACUGGGUGGCUGUUCACGUUGUUGACUUCUUCAAUAGGAUCAACCUCAUUUAUGGAACUAUCUGUGAGUUCUGCACGGAGAGGACCUGCCCGGUGAUGUCUGGAGGCCCCAAGUAUGAGUACCGGUGGCAGGAUGACUUGAGGUACAAGAAGCCCACAGCAUUGCCAGCACCCCAAUAUAUGAAUCUUCUCAUGGACUGGAUCGAGGUGCAAAUCAACAAUGAGGAUAUAUUUCCUACAAGUGUAGGUGUUCCCUUUCCAAAAAACUUUCUCCAGAUCUGCAAGAAGAUACUUUGUCGGCUUUUUCGGGUAUUUGUUCAUGUCUACAUCCAUCACUUCGACCGUAUCAUCCUUAUGGGUGCUGAGGCCCAUGUCAACACCUGUUACAAGCAUUUUUAUUAUUUUGUGACAGAGCUCAACCUCAUAGACCGCAAAGAACUAGAGCCUUUGGAACUGGAGUAGCUGCACAUGUGGGUUUUGUACAUACUUACACUGACUGGAGGAGAGUCUGUGAAGGAAGAGGAAAUGUAUCAUCUUGUUCUCAGCAGUUUGCAAGGCCCACUGAAAGACACUCCAUUUGGCAUGUAUUGAUAAGAAAGAGAUGACAACCAGGAUGUGUCACUAAAAACUACCUGCUGAAGAAAAGCAAAGUUCUAUUUCCUUCCUACUGCAGAGUUCAAGAACAUGACAGCCCUUGUGGACUGAACCUGCUUGUAAUUCCCUGAAAGCUGGAAAGUUACUGUCACAAAUGCUUCUCUCAAGUCAAAGUUGUUAACCCUAAAUAUGCUGCUAGGAACCUCAUCUGAGCAACAUGGAUUAUUGAGAAAAAGAAGAAUCAUGUCAGUUCAAGCUCCUUUAUCAGGAAUAAGAACCUCUUCAGCCACAAACAACAGCAGACAGUGCCCCUGCUGCCAAAGCUUUACUGAAAUUCAAGUCCCUGGGCUGACCUCCAGACUAGUUGUUUUGAAAUUAAAUCUGCAAUCUUGCUUUCUUUUUCUUUUGUUUCUUGGUAUGUGUUUUCUUUCCUAACUGCAACAGACUAUUAAGAGGUUCUAGAAUCAAAGAAGACUUAGCCUUUAAUGCCCCCUAUCCUGCUCCAGGCCACCCAAGGCUUGGCCACCAUUCCCAAAUGCCAGCAAGCCUUGUGUUCCUGGGAAGACAGCCAUGUCCUUCAGCUGAACAGGCAGUUUAUGCUUCAUUGUGACUCAUAAUUUAAUGACAGUAGGAGGGUUUCUGAUCUCAACUACAUGAACAGGGAUCCAGAUAAGGCUCUGCAGUGCUGAGGUAUUUUCCUUGAAUGUAUGCUGUGACUGACAGCAAAUGAUCUCAGUAUCUCCAUAUUACAUAAAAAAAACCAGCUACAGUCAUCAUUUUCCUGAAUUACCCUAGGAAGUACACCGAUCUGUCAUGUAAUUUCAUAACUUUCUACCCCCUUAGGAAAAGGAUCCUUCUCAAUCACCCUUAAAUAUAAUCUUUUUAGAGAAAAAUAAAUUUAAUUUGAGUAGCUUGCAGGAAGAUACAAUAAAGAUGGGUAGUAAAAAAGUUAAAGCAGGAGGGACUAAUUGAAGGUCUCUGUUGCAGUUCCCAGCAAUGUGACUUGCUUUAUACACCGGGCUAACACAAUACUUUUUUCCAGAACUUAAUCCAAGUUAACACAUGUAUGGACAGCCUGGAAGGAUCCUGUACAGCAAAUCAAGUCUUUUAAGCCAAAUACACCCUGAGGAGACUUUCUUCUGGAAAAAAAAAAAAAAUAAAAAAUUAGAGUGAUACUUAACAGAGGUAUCACAAGAGAAAUACUCCUGAGUAAAUGGAAAUCAAGUGCAACACAUCUCUGUAUUCUGUGCCUUGUAAUGAAUUUUGCACACUUGUGUUAUUGUGAAAAGUUUUCUUUUCCUGAGUAAGUGCUGAACCCUGUUGCUGCCUUCUCCUCUAAUAAGUUUAGAUAUGUUUACAUCUUCUGAGACAGAAACAGAAGAAAAUUUCAUGGAGUAUCCAGUGAUUUGAACAUUCGAAAUAGAGGGGUAGUAGGCACUAAAGAAUAAUAGCAAAUAUUUUUAGGUCAAUGUUGUAGCACAUUCUGAUUUACUUGCCUGCUUGCUUAAAUCAGGGCUUGUAAAAUGUCAGUGAUCACAUUCUUGCUUGGAAAAAGUGCUUUUUUCUAUGAACAUUUGGUGUAUCUACAAUGGGAAAUUUUCUGUAUCUCUGGAACUACGUAAGCAGCAUUAUCCUUUGCUUUCAAGGGGAUGCAUCUAAGUGUUCCUACCUCCUUUGGUAGUCUUUGCAAUCAGAUUAAUUCCUUGGGGAUUGGAAUGCACACACAGAUUUCUGUUCUGCUGGCACUUCUGCAGGAUAUAACUAGCUUCUGGAAUUCAGUGCCACAGCUACUCCUGAUCUUGCCUCAUUUUAAAGAUAAAAACCAUAACUUCUUUGGUUUGGUUCAUGUAGCUGGCAGCUGCCUGGAAUUAUAAUUUCAAUUGCAUAUAAAGGGUUUCUUGAACUCUUCAAAAGUGCCUGGGCUGUGGCACUUCUUGAGAUGGAGCUCUAGCUGAUGCAUUGCACUUGAAUUCCAUGGCUACCAUGGACAGUUGCCAUGUGGUAUUCUCAGUCUGGGCAGCACUGUAUUUGAAAGAUUAACAUAAAGAUGCAAAGGUGUGGAAUUUAGUGCAUGAAGAUCAAAGUCACGACACAAAUUGAAAAACUUGGAUUUUUGUAUGCAUAAUUUAGUCUUCAUUUUAUUACACUACUUACCAUAUGCUGUUUUGAGACUAUUCACUGCAUCUUCAGUCUGAAGAUUAGGCAGAAUUUUUUCUCAGUAAUCUUUUUGUGAAUGUAUAAAUUUUGUGCAUGCAAAACUUAUCAGUUGGAGUGUUUUCAUUUUCCUUUAAACUGUGUUUUUCCCACAAACCCUUACGUUUCAUUUUCUGGUAUGGCACACCAUAUGAGGCAAAAGAAUGAAGUGCAGAGCUGAACCCUAGAGGAUUUGUGUUUGACCUGGCCAAAAUCACUGCAAUGGUAAAAGCCUGUUAUUACAUAGGAGAUUAACCAGCUGCAAAGGAGAGAAAAGUGUACUUGUUUUAGUUGCUUAUUCUGCUAGGAAGUACAUGGAGUUUCCUUCCUCCACAUGACAAAGUGUGGCCUUCUCCUGAGUAUAUCCCAACACGUACUCUUCCUUCUGCAGCACAGCUAUUCAGCCACCACCUGGCCAUCUCAUGUCCUGGGCCAUUCCUCCUGUUCCACUCCAUGGUAGCUGAUAAGCAAAUACGAAUGUUUGGAAUGUGGCAUCACUUCAUAAAAGUACCAUUUUGCUCCUUCCCAUAUAGAGAAAAAGGCAGCUUCCUCUUAAAUCUUGUGAUCAAGGAUUCCAGCUUCAUCCAUAACUUGCUCAGGGCCACUAAAAGAAUCAUGUUUUGCUUGUUAAUGCUUUUUCUACCUGAUCAUAUUAUUAUGUAUGUUCCAAUAAUGCCAGUAUUCCAUAUUGUUCCGGGAUUGGGAAAGGUGAGGAGAGGGAGAGAGGAGGUUAUUGUUUGGAUUUUUUGUUUUGUUGUGGUUUUUUAAUCACUUUUCUAGUUCCUCAGCAAGGUUUUGUUUUUCUUACCUAUUUUUUUUUUUCCUGAUGCUUACCUUUAAGGAUGCUGUUGUGUUAAGCUUCACUUUAUAGAGUGCAUUUAUAGAGGAAUCAUUUGGUAGUGAACUUCUGUUUUGUGUGAACAUGGAAUUAGUGACAACUGUAAUAUGAAAUAAAUCUGAACAUAAUCUCCCUUAGGUUUUAUGAAAAUGGAGUCCCAGGGUCUUUUGAAGGGUGGGGGUUUUUUUUAUUAAUCCACAACAGCAAAACUGAUGAUUUCUAUCAGAUUUGAGAGAAGCUGGGGACUUACGAAACCUUCUAGUUUUCUCCAAGACCUCAGGCUCUAAGCAGCAAAACUUACAUCGGGCAAGUUAUUUGAUUCACCUGAUGAAUGGAUUCAUUAAGAGCAAGGGAGGGGAAGAGGAGGAAAACAGAUAAUGUGAAAUUCCACAGGUACCUACAGACAACAACUCAAGAUGUGCAGAAACUUAAUGGGUGAACAUUGAUCUCAGUGAUCACAAAUUCCUUGUCUGUGGAGAGGAUACAGAGAAUGAUACUCUUUGUAGUUGGGAAGCCACUUUCAUGAAGUCUCUAUUAACAGCAGACUAAAAGGAUCUUUUAGCACCUUUGGGUUAAAUAAAUUACAUAUUUUGGAGCCCUCUCACAAAAAGCUAUUCUUUCCUGUCACUUUUUACCUUCUCUGUGUGUUCUCAUUUUCUGGGUGGGAGCUCUCAGAGCCAGCCUUCAACCUUCCAGUGUUCAUUUUGCUUCCCCAAGGACAGUUCUGUUACAAAAAGUAGCUUUCUCACCUCUCUCUGUGCCUCCAGAAGGGCCACCUCUCACCUAUGCCCUCUUAAGAGAGACCAUCAAGGGCUGUCUGUACUUCUCUUCAGAAGAACAAAAGCAAGAGAGCAGGAGGUACCUGCAAGAGCAGCAAAACAGGAGUCACUGCUUGUAAAACAGGAAUAUGAUUGCUAUAGUAAAGCAUGCUCUAUGGGCUUUAGAAAGGGGAUAACACUGGGGCACCCAGUAUAGACGUGGUCAGUAUUCAGACAUUUUUCCUAUAUAUUGGAAGAAAUUUUUAAUAACUAUGGAGACUAUUCCAGUGGCAAAGAAAGCCAAAACAGCACUAAGAACUUGGUGAUGGUGUACAUUUAAAUAAAAAAUUAUCAAAGUUGAUUUUUUUAAUGUAUUUUAUGCUAAAUAGUUAGUGAUUUCCAAGGUUUAGCUAAAUAUGUUAGAGUUCUUAAAGUAGUUUCUGUUCCGUGUUUUAAUAAGUUUUCCCAUUUUAAAGACAGAUGUAAUUAAUAUAAUUAAAAGUUGUAAUAAUUUUUUCCUGGGAAAAAAAUUAAUUACUUUUCUGGUCUAAUACAUGCUUGUCUGUGUAUGUGCAUGUGCACGUAUAUAUACAUAUAUAUGUGUGUGGGUGUGGGUGUUUGGGGAUAUGGAUGUGGAAGCAUCAGCAUAUGCACGUGUACUAGUCUUUCCUAUAAGAUACAUUUUUUUUAAAUUUUGGUAAUAUUUAAGGGGAAUGCAUCUUUCUAAGAAACAAGUGGUUAAUUCCUUUUCGUCCUCCAUGCAUCAGCUUUGUUGGGUGUGUUAAUUUUUUUUUUUGAUGAUGUCACAUUUGUCUCAGACUUUUUUAGUUCUAUUUGCUAUUAAGAGAUUUUUUUCAACUGAAUGGGAAGAGAGACCGACAUUAACUGUUGUAGUCAUUAAAAGAAAAAGAAAGUUUACAUUACAAACCAAUCAUAAUGGAUGAAGCAAUGGAAUACAAAUAUAAAUAAAAUAAACAUAGCAAUGGAAAA